CAUCAGGAGAGAUCUCCAUUACCUGUGCCCAGAUUAUGAAAAUAAAACAUGGUGUAGAAUUGCAAAUCAACACGUAUAACAUGCCAGCUCCCUAGAAAAUAAUGGAUGCCUUUUAUACCACAGCCCAAUCCAUCAUGAGAGACCUCCAUCACCUGUGCCCACUUGUGUGUCCAUGAAGAGUGAUCAGUCAAAGGAUUAUUACAUCAACUUCCAACAUGGAGAUGACACAGAUGGAUCAAUGACUGGAGGGGCAAAAAGCCCAAUCCAUCAUGAGAGACCACCAUCACCUGUGCCCACUUGUGUGUCCAUGAAGAGUGAUCAGUCAAAGGAUUAUUACAUCAACUUCCAACAUGGAGAUGACACAGAUGGAUCAAUGACUGGAGGGGCAAAAAGGUAAAUUAUCUCAUUUUACAGCAUGAUG